UGGACACAAAAUUAAGCUAAAUUUAACCCAGAGAAUGACAAGUGACCUGAAGGAAUUAUUAACAUGUUUCAAAUUAUUAAGACUCCAGAUUUACACAAGCCUAGUACACCUGCCUUUCUCAACGUCAUGAAAAUAAUGAUGAUGGGCAGGUGAACCUCUCUCAUAGAAGGAAUGAAGACAAAGUAGUAACCAAGUCAAUUAGCGAGGUCAGUUCAGAUCAGUUAACUGAAGUCAGUCAAAGGAGGACAUCAACGGGAGACGUGAGCAGGGGUCAGCAGCCAUACGCCUGACCACCUUGGUUUCUCGGACGGCUGACAUAUCGGUGGACGUCGGCCUACUUGCUCUUGAACCUCUGGAUGAUA